UUGGAGGGCAAGUCUGGUGCCAGCAGCCGCGGUAAUUCCAGCUCCAAUAGCGUAUAUUAAAGUUGUUGCAGUUAAAAAGCUCGUAGUUGAAUUUCGGGGUCAGCAGGUUGGUCGUGCCUCUGGUACGCACUGGUUUCGCUGAUUCCUCCUUUCUGAAGAACUGUAAUGUCAUUAAUUUGGUGUUGCAGGGAAACAGGACUGUUACUUUGAAAAAAUUAGAGUGUUUAAAGCAGGCUAACGCUUGAAUACAUUAGCAUGGAAUAAUGAAAUAGGACGUUUGAUCCUAUUUUGUUGGUUUCUAGGAUUGACGUAAUGAUUAAUAGGGAUAGUUGGGGGCAUUAGUAUUCAAUUGUCAGAGGUGAAAUUCUUGGAUUUAUUGAAGACUAACUACUGCGAAAGCAUUUGCCAAGGAUGUUUUCAUUAAUCAAGAACGAAAGUUAGGGGAUCGAAGACGAUCAGAUACCGUCGUAGUCUUAACCAUAAACUAUGCCGACUAGGGAUCGGAUGAUGUUAAUUUUUUAAUGACUCAUUCGGCGCCUUACGGGAAAC
rnacentral:rRNA from 1 species